rnacentral:lncRNA from 1 species
AUGCUAAAGCCUCCAACCCAGUGAUUGCACGAUCAAAUGGCAUAGAGAUUCCAAUAGAAGAAGAAAGAAAUGAAGUACGAUUAUGGAAGAGGUACUCAUAGCCAAAAUUCAUUUUCUCAUUCAAAAGAAAAAUAAUUACAUGAAAUCAAUGCCAAGAGGGCAUCGAACAAAAAAAAGAAAGAGAAAGAAGAGAGGGAGAAA